rnacentral:lncRNA from 1 species
CAUACCAAAACAUAAUUUGUAAGCGUUUGUCUUUACAUUAUAGAUGUUCUUCCAUGGGAAAAUUUGGUCCACAAAGAAAUUAUAAGAGACCUGACAAGACUUGCAACCUUGCUAGACGUAAAAGACUCCGUUGACUUCAUUUCAUCUCUUUAAUAUUUUAAUUCAAUUAAUCCAUCUUGGGUUAAUUCAUCAACCCUAUUGAAUUAUAGCUGUAGCAAUGGCUUUUCCGCUUCUUUUUUCACUUUCAUUUCUUCUUCUGCUGCUGCAACCAUUUUUAACUUUUGCUCAAACCCGUGGCAACAUAACCAUUGGAGCUUCUCUUUCUGCCUCACAAAACUCGUCUUCAUGGUUUUCUCCUAAAGGGGAUUUUGCCUUCGGUUUCCACUCACUUAACAGCAACAAAGACCUUUUCAUGCUCUCCAUUUGGUAUGCUAAAAUCCCACAGAAGACUAUAGUUUGGUUUGCAAAUGGAGGUAGUCCUGCAGCUUCAGGAACAAAAGUUGAGCUCACUGCUGAUCGAGGCCUUGUGCUUACUAGCCCUCAAUGAUACAGGCAACUUUGUUCGGCUCAGUGACAAUACAAAUAAGCUAUGGGGGAGCUUCAAGAAUCCCAUUGACACCAUGCUACCUUCACAAAUAUUUGAAAAGUGACCGUUUCUUUCUUCCAAACAUUCAGAUGGCAGUUUUUCCAGGGAAGGUUUCGAUUUGAACUGAAUACAGAUGGGAAUCUGAUGGAGCGAGGCGUAGCAGAAGCAGAAUUAAAUGGAUAGAAAACACUAGAUAUCGUUAUAGUAUUAGACCAAACCAACACGAUUAGCUCACGAAGCGUGAUUAGAUAUCGUUUUAACCAGGAUAACUCAAUGAGAUUUUUAGUAACACAUAAAGCGAGAUUAGAUGACACUUUAAUCCACAUGACCCUACAAAAGAGAUUUUGAUAGAUAAUCCCAGAGAGAAUUAUAAAAGGAGAGUUUUAUUCAAUAAUUGAAUCUGAACUUCUCAAAACAAUGACAAAGCCUCUUUAUUUAUAAUAGAGAAAAUCCACUUUCCUAAGUUAACCUAAAAUGAGAAACUAAAUCACAAUUAUAAUGGAAAUAAAAGACUAAAAUACAUACCAUAAUUGACUCAAACUAAAAUAGAAAAUUCUAAAAUAAUAAAUAUUCUAUAAUCCGAAAUUACCUAAAAUAUAAUGUAAAUUAACUUUCUACAUCAUUCUCCCCCUCUUAAAACAAACUCGUCCUCAAGGUUGAAUACAAUCUAGAGGAUGAAACUUGUAGUGUAGGAGCAAAUCAUCUUGUAAUUCGAACUUAUUGUCCUUCUCAUCAAUCUUUCUUGAAACUUUGAAGAAUCCAUACUUCAUCAACUUCCUUCGCUUGUACAUUCAUCGAGGUGAUGAAGACUUCCAAAAAUGAACGACGAUCAAAUAACUUUUACCCUUCCCCAAUUCUCGGUCAAUGUGCUCUCUAAUAAAUUUCACCUUUUUAAUCAAAUCUUCUUCAAGCACAAUCUUCUUGUCUUCAAUGUGAAUAGGUAGAACCACUUCAACUUCUUCAACUUGAUUUUGCGGCACAUCCUCGAUGGUACAGUUAGCCUCAAUAUAGAAAUUAAGGGUAGGUUGUUCUAAUUCGUCAAAAAUCCCACAAAAUUAAUAAGUCAAUAUCACAAUAGUGAUUUUUCUUUUCUUUUCAAUUAAUGGCAACAUAAGUCAACUGUCCCACCAAAUGUGCAUCAACAUUAAUCUGUCCAAUUGCAGUGAACGCCUUUGCUUACGCGCUUUGAAUAUUCAUUUUCAAUAAUCUGUCCCACUUUUUAUCUUCUCCACAUGAAAAAUAUGUUAUCUGAAUAAUCCAUCCAUGUUCUUCCAAUUUCAUUACUCAAAACAAUUUCAGUAAUUUCAGUAAUGGCUUUUCAUCUUCUAUCCCUUCUUUUCUUGCUUCUGCUGCCGUGUCUAACAGCCGCACAAAGUAACGGAAACAUAAGUAUAGGUCAGCAACUCACUGCAGCUGAGAGCACGGAACCAUGGCUUUCCCCUUCUAAGGAUUUCGCUUUAGGGUUUCAUCAACUAGACAGUAAGGAUCUCUUCUUGCCUGCCAUAUGGUAUUACAAGAUACCGAGUAAAACCAUAGUUUGGUAUGCAUCGGCAGUCAAUCCUGCGCCAAGAGGAUCAAAACUACGGCUGACUGCUAAUGGGGGGCUGGUGCUUGAGGACCCCGAAGGCCGGGAGAUAUGGAAAUCUGAAAUCAGUACGGGACAAGCAGCUUUUGGUGUUCUUUAUGAUACUGGCAACUUUCUGAUCGUAAAUACAAAUUCUGAGAAGUUAUGGCAGAGCUUUGAUCAUCCUACUGAUACCUUGCUUCCUACGCAGACAAUGGAACGGGGUGGGGUCGUAUCUUCCAGACGAAAGGAGACUGAUUUCUCUCGAGGAAGGUUCCAAUUCCGUCUAUUGGAGGAUGGAAAUGCAGUGCUUAAUACCAUAAACUUGGAAAGCGGCUUUGCAUAUGAUGCCUAUUUUUGGAGUAACACGUUUGAUACUAACAGAUCGAAUGCUGGUUAUCGAGUAGUCUUCAAUGAGUCAGGCCAAUUGUAUGUUUUGAGAGAAAAUAAACAGAGAGCCAGUCUUGUACCAGAAACAGUCUCAGCAAAAGAAAAUUACCUCAGAGCAACUCUAAACUUUGAUGGUGUUUUUAUCUUCUACUCUCACCCCAAGAAUAAUAGCACUGGAGACGCUAUCUGGUCAGUCAGUGAUGUCUUGCCGGAGAAUAUUUGCAUUAACAAUGAUAUCCGUAAAGGAUUAGGCAGUGGAAUCUGUGGAUUUAACAGCAUCUGCAGUAUCAGUGGAGCCAAAAGACCAAUCUGCCAAUGCCCAAAAGGGUUUUCUUUACUAGAUCCAGAUGAUGUCUACGGAAGCUGCAAACCGGACUUCAUUCUAGGCUGUGAAGAAGAUGGGAAGAAAUCUGGAGAAGAUCUAUAUUAUAUUGAAGAGCUAGGGAACACUGAUUGGCCAACAUCUGAUUAUGAACAGAUUAGUCCUUAUAAUAAAGAUGAAUGUGUGUCAUCUUGCUUAAAGGACUGUCAAUGUUCUGCUGCGGUAUUGAGAGAUGACACCUGCUGGAAGAAGAAACUACCUCUCUCCUAUGGGAAAACGGACAGGGAUGAGACAGGGACAACUUUCAUCAAAAUUAGGAAAGUCCCUUCUGGAGGAAAGAAGAAAGUGGAUGUAUUAAUCCCGGUUGUAUCUGUACUCUUCGGCAGCUCUGCAUUAAUCAACUUGCUAUUAGUCAGCGCAUGUUGUCUAGGUUUCCUAGUUGUUAAUCGCAAAAAGUUCACGUGGCCUCACCAAGAGGAACAAGGUGUCUCAUAUAUGAAUUUGCGCUGCUUUACUUAUAAGGAGCUUGUAGAAGUCACUUGUGGAUUCAAGGAAGAACUCGGUAGAGGAGCCUUUGGCACUGUUUAUAAAGGGUUUGUGAAUAUGGGUUCUAGCAAUCAUGUUGCGGUGAAGAAGUUAAAUAGUGUAUUCCAAGACAGUGAAAAAGAAUUUAAAGCUGAAGUGAAUGGAAUCGGUCAGACACAUCAUAAGAAUCUGGUUAGACUUCUUGGGUACUGUGACGAGGGACAAAAUCGACUUCUAGUGUAUGAGUUCAUGAGCAAUGGCGCCUUGGCUAGUUUCCUCUUUGGAGACUCAAAGCCGAAUUGGAAACUGAGGACCGAAAUUGCCAUGGGAAUCGCUAGAGGUCUCUUUUAUCUUCAUGAGGAGUGCUGCACCCAGAUCAUCCAUUGUGAUAUAAAGCCUCAAAACAUACUUCUUGAUGAUUAUUACAACGCCCGGAUAUCUGAUUUUGGAUUGGCAAAGCUUUUGACGCUGGAUCAGAGCCAUACCAAUACUGCCAUCAGAGGAACUAAAGGAUAUGUUGCACCCGAAUGGUUCAGGAAUAUGCCAAUCACAGUAAAGGUUGAUGUGUACAGUUAUGGUGUGCUGCUUCUAGAAAUAAUUUGCCUGCGAAGAAGUAUAGAUAACAAAAUCAGCAAAGUGGAUAAAGCAAUCCUAACCGAUUGGGCUUAUGACUGCUAUCAGGAAAGAACACUUGGAGCUCUGGUUGAAAAUGACUUGGAGGCCAUGGACGACAUGACUGUGCUGCACAGGUUUGUGAUGGUUGCCAUUUGGUGCAUUCAAGAAGACCCGUCUCAUCGGCCCACCAUGAGGAGGGUUACACAAAUGCUUGAAGGAGUUGUUGAAGUACCUACUCCCCCAUGUCCAUGGACCCUAAACAUUACAAGCUGAAAGCGAGAAACACUUGCAAUUGCUUAAUCUCGUAUUUUCUUCAGUUCAAGCGAAGAAUUUCAGCCGUGGUUAUGUGUACUAAGUAGUAAAAGAGUUCAGUGAAUAAUGUAAUAUAGUUUCUAUGUUUCUCAAAAUUUACCGCAUUGACUUAGCUUUUAUAUAAGAUAUGCCUCUGGUUCCAAUAGAAAUUAUGUAGAAUUCUAAGUGAGAAGUCACGUGUUCAGAAAAUCUGAUCAAUAGCAAACUAUGUCAUGUUGUCUAUAAAUGCUGUUGAUAGUGGAAUGGAGAGUGCCAACUUACUGGUUAAAUGUGGUCAAGAUGCUUGGAUAAUUUGAACAAACUGUUUUAAUUUUGAAAGAAAAAUGUGAAAAGAAAUAUUAUGCCCCACUGGCACAUUGAUAAUAUUUGACUGUCAUUGAUAGUACCCCUCUGCAAAUAUCACUGGGUUCAGCAAGGAUAUGAAAUAGCAUUAUGGUGUUGCUAUAGGAAUUAAAAAAAAUGUAAAGCAUGACUAUAGGAAACAAUAUGAAUCUGCUAAACAGUUAAAUUGAUUAUUCCUUGAAAUGUUUUUUCUAAUUAAAUAUUUUGCAAAUUAUCUGAUCCGAAGAAUUACUUGAGUUCUUGUUAUACUGUUAAAUAUCUGAUGAAUUCCAUGUUCUAUUUUGGGUCAGAUUGUUAACAAACAUCUAUUUCUGUUCAGCUAAAGAUAUCUCCUGUUCAAGAUUUUGUAGCCCUUAAUUCCAAAAAAAAUAUUUUCUUGCCCUUUAUUCCAACUUUGAAACUUCUACGAAGGAAAACCGUUUUUGUUUUCCUUUGUUUCAAAACGCACAUAAUUCACUGCAUCUGUAGAGUUUGAGAGAUCAACAAAGACUAUAUGGACAAUUUAAAAUUUGUGCAGCAUGGUGGGAUUAGAAUUGAUUUUGCCUUCAACCAUUUGGAGAGAAUAGCGCAAGCUCGCCACGAAAUUGGGGAUGAAAGUUACAAGGACAACGCCCUUUACAAGUACCAUGAGGAGAAAGCUACGCUUUGUCUACAGAUUGAUGAACUACUGGCAAAAGCAGAGAAACAGAAGAAUGAGAUACACGAUUUUAUAACUACUAAAUAUGAUGAGGGAUUAAUAAGAACGACACUUCUCUUAAGUGAGGAUAUGGAAUUGAUUGCCAACAAUGCGGGGGCCAGCUUGCUGUGACACCAAGAAAUUAAGUGAUUCAGCGCAGAUACUAUGGUAACUUUUCGACAAGUUCUGUUAUUGCAUAUUUCUUUAAUUUUACUGUUGUAAGUAUGUUUAUUGUUUUAAGCAUUUCCAUGGCCACGCAUACAGCUGUGACAGAUGCAAAUUCUAUCUGGAUCAUGACUGCGUUUCACCGUGGCCUUCAGUAAAAUUAAAAGGGCCAUAUGCACAUCCUAAAUAGGCCGGUCGUUUGGCGACCCCAAAUGCAUAACAAAGAUAAAUCAAAAUGCAAACCUUAGUGUCGAGUAUUCAAAUCCAGAAACAAAGAAUAAAAACAGAACAAGUCAGCAAGAUUACGAGGUUCAGUCAUUCGCACGACCUACAUCACUGGGAGGAACAAUAGAGAGGUUGCCAUUGAUGAUUCAAGCUUAGAGAUACAUGGAUUUGUGCUUAGUAGGUAACGUACACUUUUAACAAUACAUGAGAAGUGAUGACGAUGACGUUCUUCAUUUGCCCUGCACUGCGGAAACUGUAAGUUUUAUCCCAUAGAUAUUUUUCAUUGAAUUUAAUUAAGAAUUAUUGGGUUCAAAAGUGAGGGAAAGUAAAAUAGAAAGACAGAAUAAACCCACGGAAAAGUUACUUGAGAUAUCGCCAAAACACAGAGACCCAAAAUUUCCCUUAACGAAAAGAGAUACCUCGAAUCGUAGUAAAAUUGUUGUUGUUUGGACUUUUGAUCAAUGCUUAAGUUUGGAUGUUUAAGACGAAAAGAAGUUUUGCACUUACUCCCAAAAUAAUGCAAAUAAUGAUAACAUGUGCCUCAAAAUGGCAAUAAUCCAUGAUAUAAUAUGAUACUAGUACAAUAAGUUUGUUCAAAUUGCUUGGUGUUCCUCAUUUUCCACUUAAUUUGUAGGGGUUUAGAUUCAAUGGACCACUCAAUUGCAAUUAAAUGAGCUAUUAAGUGUAGCUUUCACAUAUUUUCAUUUAUUGUCUCUCUUUAUUGAAGUCUUUGUUUUUACACCUAUCUAUAUGCACUAGCGGCUUAUUUAGGAUUGAAGUGAUGAUGUGCUUCACACAAUUUAGGAUAAGUUGGUGUAAUUAUGGUACAUCUAUUAAUAAUGCAUUUGAGUUUCUAAUGCAGUGACAUGGCAGAAGAUAUGAUAUUUCACAUCUAAUCCGAAGAGGAAACUCAACGCUUAUGAUCCAAUGAAUGAGAUAAAUUAUUUUAUUGAAUUUUGCGGUGAAUAUUAGAUAACUUUCUAAUCUAAGGAGUUUUUUUAUUAAAUUAAUAACUGAUUAAAAUAAUAAUGAGAACACUCAAUUUUAUGAAUAAGAUAAAUCUACUUUCUAAAAUCAACUCAAGCAGAAAAAGUUAAAUUACAAUUGAAAUAUAAGUCCUAAAAGCAUCCCUAAUUCGACUGUGGAAUAAAAUGACAAAUAUAAAAAUUCCAACAGUCAAUUCGCUUUGAAAAGUCAGAAUGAGUUCCUGGUGAUUUUUCUUUUUGAAUUUGGAGUUAUUCGUUUUCUUUAAAAAAAAAAAAAAAAAAAGAGGACAAAUUGGGCACUUCUCAGUUGAAUCGCUCUCCUCCACUAAUGUCUUGUCAUGAGUAUAUCUUCACUAAUUAUAAAAAACAAAUAAAUAAAAUCGGUAAACACGUGGUAAAAAUUUCGAGAAAGGGUUGCUUUAGAGGGUCUUCAAUUUUAAUACUUGCCAGUGCAAUCGCUCUCAUACACCAAUAUGCUUUUGAAUGAUCAAUUUUAAUUCAUUAAAUUUCUACCAUUUUCAAUCAACAAUGAAAUUAUAGAUCACUUAAAUAAAACUUGUCUUUUAUUCUUGCUUCCCUUUGCCAAUGACUCUAACAAUGAGCCCUCAAACUGCCACUCAUUAUGUCCAAUAUGCCCCUCGAGUUACCAUAUAGACCAAUAAAUUUUGCUUCCAUGGCCCUAAAAAAAUUGCUCAUGAUAUAAUCUCAAAUACAUCUAUUUAGUACAUGAUUGACGUGAUAUAAACAUAAAAUGAUUUUCAUUAGAUUUUUCAUUGCAUACCAAAAAAUAAUUUGUAAGCGUUUGUUUUUACAAUCUAGAUGUUCUUCCAUGGGAAAAUUUGGUCCACAAAGAAAUUAUAAGAGACCUGACAAGAAUUGCAACCUUGCUAGACGUAAAAGACUGCGUUGACUUCAUUUCAUCUCUUUAAUAUUUUAAUUCAAUUAAUCCAUCUUGGGUUAAUGCAUCAACCCUAUUGAAUUCUAGCUAUAGCAAUGGCUUUUCCGCUUCUUUUUUCACUUUCAUUUCUUCUUCAGCUGCUGCAACCAUUCUUAACUUUUGCUCAAACCCGUGGCAACAUAACCAUUGGAGCCUCUCUUUCUGCCUCACAAAACUCGUCUUCAUGGCUUUCUCCUAAUGGAGAUUUUGCCUUCGGUUUCCGCUCACUUGACAGCAACAAAGACCUUUUCUUGCUCUCCAUUUGGUAUGCUAAAAUCCCACAGAAGACUAUAGUUUGGUUUGCAAAUGGAGAUAGUCCUGCAGCUUCAGGAACAAAAGUUGAGCUCACUGCUGACCGAGGCCUUGUGCUUACUAGCCCUCAAGGUCAAGA